rnacentral:rRNA from 1 species
UGAACGCUGGCGGCGUGCCUAAUACAUGCAAGUCGAGCGAACGGACGAGGAGCUUGCUUCUCUGAUGUUAGCGGCGGACGGGUGAGUAACACGUGGAUAACCUACCUAUAAGACUGGGAUAACUUCGGGAAACCGGAGCUAAUACCGGAUGAUAUUUUGAACCGCAUGGUUCAAAAGUGAAAGACGGUCUUGCUGUCACUUAUAGAUGGAUCCGCGCUGCAUUAGCUAGUUGGUAAGGUAACGGCUUACCAAGGCAACGAUGCAUAGCCGACCUGAGAGGGUGAUCGGCCACACUGGAACUGAGACACGGUCCAGACUCCUACGGGAGGCAGCAGUAGGGAAUCUUCCGCAAUGGGCGAAAGCCUGACGGAGCAACGCCGCGUGAGUGAUGAAGGUCUUCGGAUCGUAAAACUCUGUUAUUAGGGAAGAACAUAUGUGUAAGUAACUGUGCACAUCUUGACGGUACCUAAUCAGAAAGCCACGGCUAACUACGUG